rnacentral:rRNA from 1 species
GUCAAUGUCCAUUCCACCCUGAACGCGCCCGAUCUCAUCUUGUCUUGGAAGCUAAGCAUGGUCAGGCCUGGUUAGUACUUGGAUGGGAGAAAGUCAUUAAACAUGAAGGAUGGGACAUCAAGAGAGAAGUUGGAG